rnacentral:rRNA from 1 species
UGGGGAAUUUUGGACAAUGGGCGCAAGCCUGAUCCAGCCAUGCCGCGUGCGGGAAGAAGGCCUUCGGGUUGUAAACCGCUUUUGUCAGGGAAGAAAUCUUCUGAGUUAAUACCUCGGGAGGAUGACGGUACCUGAAGAAUAAGCACCGGCUAACUACGUGCCAGCAGCCGCGGUAAUACGUAGGGUGCAAGCGUUAAUCGGAAUUACUGGGCGUAAAGCGUGCGCAGGCGGUUUUGUAAGACAGAGGUGAAAUCCCCGGGCUCAACCUGGGAACUGCCUUUGUGACUGCAAGGCUUGAGUGCGGCAGAGGGGGGAUGGAAUUCCGCGUGUAGCAGUGAAAUGCGUAGAUAUGCGGAGGAACACC